UCUCUCUGAAUCUGCGAACGGCUCCGCAAACCAGUUGUAAACUAUAGCAAGCAAGCCCGGGAUCGGCCUUCACGGGCUGGUUCCGGGUGAUAUGGAUAACCCUGGUAAUUCUGAGGCUAAUACAUGACCGUAAAACCUAGCUGACCGGCUUCGGCUGGGAUGCUGGGGGACGUGUGAUUUGGGCUUGGUAACACCGGGAAGGGGCGCACGUCUAGACCACGCUAUAAAGGUCGGUUUCCCCUUCGGGGGGGGCUGUCCCAGUGGCUCUUGCUGUGUGCUUCUGACCUAUCAACUAGACGGCAGCGUAAGGGACAUGCUAUGGUGACAACGGGUACAGAGGAUUAGGGUUCGAUCCUGGAGAGUGGGCCUGAGAGAUU
rnacentral:rRNA from 1 species